GAUGAACGCUAGCGGCAGGCUUAAUACAUGCAAGUCGAGGGGCAGCACGGUUAGCAAUAACUGGUGGCGACCGGCGCACGGGUGCGUAACACGUAUACAAUCUACCUUAAACAGGGGGAUAGCCUUUCGAAAGAGAGAUUAAUACCCCGUAAUAAAUUGAACGGCAUCGUUUGAUUUUGAAAGCUCCGGCGGUUUGAGAUGAGUAUGCGUCUGAUUAGCUAGUUGGUGAGGUAACGGCUCACCAAGGCGACGAUCAGUAGGGGAUCUGAGAGGACUAACCCCCACACUGGUACUGAGACACGGACCAGACUCCUACGGGAGGUAGCAGUAGGGAAUAUUGCGCAAUGGGGGGAAACCCCUGACGCAGCGACGCCGCGUGAGUGAUGAAGGCCUUCGGGUCGUAAAGCUCUGUUGCAAGGGAAUAAGAAAGUAGAUAGUACCUUGUGAGGAAGGAUCGGCUAACUUCGUGCCAGCAGCCGCGGUAAU
rnacentral:rRNA from 1 species